GAAGACAUUAUUUUUGAUUGAUUCUUUUGCCAAUUGAUGUAAAGAACAUUUACAUAAGGGUUUGCAAGGACAAACCAAAGUACAAACUGGAAAUAGCAACCAGACAUUUUACAAACUCUAGUCAUAUAUUAAACCAAAAGAGAUCAGGAAAAUAUCACAUCCUGUCACAAGAGGCUCGUUCCUUGUUUGAUCAUCAUAUACAUGCUUUAUUUCGAUGAAUGUGUUGUGUUCGCAUAAUAUUAGCGUCAUGUUCCAUCCGUCAAAAACAUGACUUAGUCGACGGCCUCAACUAUUUGACAACCAGAUGAUAGUGGACUGAAUUCUUGUUCUUCUCACACCCACACACAAUACUUAUAAAGAUUUAAACCUGACAUAAAAAAAAUUAUCUCUAUUAUGUUCACCUCUAUAGAAAUUCUAGUCCAUCCGCUCAUAUCUCCCUCUUGCAUUGAAGAAACUGUCUUUCUCCAAUAAAACUAGUCCUAUAUCCUCACUAAGUAAAAGAUCACCUUUAUAUUUGACCUUGACUAAAAUUUGAUAUCUAUGCUCACCGGCCGUACCCAAUAUUCACUUACUAUAUAAUGUUUGUUGUUGGAAACAAACCAAAGUCCCACAUCGGAAAAUUAGAAAAAGAAGUUUAUAAUAUAUAAGUCAAGUUCAACUUAAAUUAGUGUGAGAUCUUUUAGAAAAGAGCCCAAUAACAAAUCCGUGCGGACUUGAGUAAUGAGUUCAAAGCGAACAAUAUCAUACUAUUGAAAGAAAUUGACUUGACUUGAAAACCCAACAAGGUUUUAAUCCACACUCGCAUCCCUGUCAAUAAGCACAUACAUAUUCCUCGCAUGAACUUAUUCUCUUUUCUCAACAAGUAAGAUUACCUCAUGAUCACUUAUUCCAAAGAUUACCUCGCAUGAACUUAUUAUUUUUCAUUUUUAUCACCAAGAAAGUAUCAUAUAUCAAAAUUGGGUUUGAAAACUCAUUCACUUUCAUAUAUUAUUUUAGUCACCGGUAGAGAUGCCUAUGCAGGGUAAAUGCAUCAGAAUGAGUUAAUAUUCAUAUUCGAACCAUAACUAUAUAUAACAGUUAUUUUGAUUCUAAAACAAAAGAAGAAAGUCCUAUACAGUUGUAUAAAGACUCAGUAACUUAUGCGAGUAAAUGCACCAAAAAUGAGGUGUACAUUCAAUUUGGUCUUAGGUUUUUCGUUUUCCUUCCGAUUUUCAGUUUAUAAAUAAUAGAAUAUCCAAAUAAAAGUUUAAUUUAUCAUAUAUAGUUUGGUAUACUUUUGUUCGUUUGGAUUGUAAUGUACGUCGAAGAAUGAUUGUGCAAUCACAUAUACAUAUACAUGUAGGAAGAAGAUAUUGAUAGAGAUAUCAUACAAUAUGAUCAUACACUAUCAUAAUUAGGUCGUGAAGCUAUAUAUCUCCCCCAUGUGUUAUUCCAAUUUGUAUAAAAAUAAAAUUAAAAACAACAAUAAGUGUGGCCAAUUAGUACUAUCUAAAGUAAUUUAAGAUUUUGGAUUAAAAUUUAGAAACCUUUCUCUCUAUAAAAGCAGUAGCUAUCUCUCUGCCCACCACCACCUCAAAAUAUCAACUCUCUCUCACACUUUCAGAACUCUCCUUUUCUAUUUCUCUCUCUAGAAAAUAUCUUCAUCUAUUGAUUAGAUAUAGAGUAGAGUUAUCAAGAGUUACUUCGUAGAUAUGGAGAAAAGAGAAGGCAGU
rnacentral:lncRNA from 1 species